AAUCCCACAGUUAGAUUACAUAUUUUAUUUAGCCUACUUUAUUAUAUAAAGAAUGUGUCUAUGUCAUUCCAAAUCACAUAAAAAAAAUAUUUUUGAAUUUUUUCUUUUUCAUUCAUUUUACUCUAUGUUUUUUAAUUGUCGAAGUGUCAACAUUUUUUUUUAUUUGCUUGAUCUUUAAAGUAUUUCUUGAGUUCUCUUUGAAGAAUUAAUUAUUUAAAUUUUUUCUAGUUUGAGAAAUCAC
rnacentral:lncRNA from 1 species